CAGAAGUUUCUGGAAAGGAGAAUGUGUUGAGAACAUCUCGCCACCAUGGCCAUUCUGGAUUCCAUAGCUCCUUCACGUGAUCUGGUGUGGACUCUAUGCUGAUGGCAAGCUCUCUUCGGACUGGCCAUAGUUCAAGCGCUCACAGAAUGUAAGUCCCCAGAGGCAUUUACUCCUGUGCCCCAGACAUGGAGAACAGUGCAUGGGACCCAGGAAGUGCUCAGAAAACAUAACUAUGUGUUGAACAGGAACCUGUACCAGAUGUGCCUGUCCCCGACAUUGGACCCUGAGCUCUUUGCGGGAUGGAAACAUACUCUGCUCAUCUCUGUAACCCCAGCUUCUAGCCUCCAGCCUGACACGUGGUCUGUGUGUUGAAAGAACAAAGGAACCAGAUCCCUCGCUCAGAGAGAAACUGGCUUCUGGCUUGCAAGCAGCUUCCUGAAGAGACCCAUGUGGCAAGGAACUGGAGCCCCUUUCCAGCAGGCUCUCUCGUUUCCCUGAAUGGAACCAUGGCUUGCAAGCAACGGCCCACAUCUGACGUGUGGUGAAUUCCUGACGGAGACAGUGGUAGUAACGAGUGCUAAGUCCUUCCACAUUGACUUCUGCAAAGAGCCUCACUAGUCGGGUCUUCUAAGAAAGGGACAAAUCUUGGGCCCAACAAAGAAGAAAUAGAAAGAAGGAAGUCUGUGAUAUUGCGAAGAACAGGACGUGGAAAUUUUUCAGUGGUGCAGUCCAGCCCAAGGAGCAUUAAGCUGGAUCAUCAUAUCAGGGAUUUUCCUCAAUGACAUAAAAAUUGCACGAGUGUGCAAAUGACUGUCUGAAGAUGUUCUUGGCAGUGUUGUUUAUGAUGAGAGAUAAGAAGCACCCUCAAAUGGCUACGA